rnacentral:rRNA from 1 species
AGAGUUUGAUCAUGGCUCAGGAUGAACGCUGGCGGCGUGCCUAACACAUGCAAGUCGAGCGGAGAAUAUAGUAAUAUAUUCUUAGCGGCGGACGGGUGAGUAACGCGUGGGCAACCUACCUCAUACUGGGGGAUAACACUGGGAAACUAGUGCUAAUACCGCAUAACGUCAUUGGAUGGCAUCAUCCGAUGACCAAAGGAGUAAUCCGGUGAGAGAUGGGCCCGCGUCCGAUUAGCUAGUUGGUGAGGUAAUGGCCCACCAAGGCGACGAUCGGUAGCCGAACUGAGAGGUUGAUCGGCCACAUUGGGACUGAGACACGGCCCAGACUCCUACGGGAGGCAGCAGUGGGGAAUAUUGCACAAUGGGGGAAACCCUGAUGCAGCAACGCCGCGUGAAGGAUGAAGGUCUUUGGAUUGUAAACUUCUUUGAUUGGGGACGAAUUAAUGACGGUACCCAAA